UGUGGUGUGAGGAAAAAGUAGAGAAACGUUUGGGGUCGAAACACGGACAGACUCCCGAACGUUUUUCUCAUUU
rnacentral:sRNA from 17 species